rnacentral:lncRNA from 1 species
UGGGUGGCUCGCAGCGCAGAGGCGAGCGGAUGGUAGCAUCACACAGCCUCUGGGCUUUGUGCGGUGUGGUGAGGACGAGCCCUUGUGUCCGUGCGGCGGGCGACCUCGUGCCCUCGUCGGCCGGCGGCAUCCAGCGACGGUAUGCUCGCCCCCUCCUCCAUGUAGUCCAGCCAUGAGGAACGACUCCCCGUCUCCACCUGCUUCACAAGGCCACAAGUCUACGACUAUCCUCCUAACCUUGUUCAAUCAUCAAACGUAGAAGCCACACGGCCACACGGGUACGAAAAAUAUCUCACAAGGGAUCUUUCCAUUCCAUAUUAGCAAUAUUUGAGGACGUCUUUGAUUAUGUUUUCCUCUUUAUUCUGGGAACCGCUUUUUGCUCAAUUUGCUAGCUGAUCUCUGCCAUAUACUCUGUUUUUGUUAGAAAGUUUGAUGAGCAGAUCCAUGGUUAAUUAAUCUCAAGUAGGCUUAUUCACCGCAUUUACUUUUAUUUGGUUUGAGCUAAUCAGGCCUCUACCUAACCUUCUGUUGGCAUCUUGAAUUUUUUUAUGCACACCUUCAACAAUUUAUGACAUGCCAAUGUCGAGUUAGCUCCAACAGUCCCCUCACAGAUUAUUGGAUAAACUAGCAAUUGUAUGAAACAAAUUAAAAACAACAGAAAUAUCAGUGCACUUCUUUCCGGUCAAUCAGUAGUAGCUGGUAAUAGCUGAAUCUGAGAACAUGGGGGUAAGUCUGUCAGGUAGUGUUCUUAAUUAACCUACUUUUCCCUUUUGUCAUGUCACUGGACACUGUUUACAACAAGCUACCUAUCUAUAUAAGAAAAUUCGGCUACAUAUUUGUAUAAUAAAAUUUAGCAGGUCUGCAUAAAUCUUUUAACAAUACUAAGAGAUGGUAGACAUUUCACAUGUUUUGAGGCUGGCCAUUGAUUUGGACUUGCUGAAGUCUCCCCCUGAUACUGUCAGCGUACUGCAGAACUUCGAGGGUGUGUAGGGAUAGGGACUGGCCUUUGGUAAUUAAUACUCCCUCCGUAACAUAAUAUAAGACAUUUUUGACACAUGAUACGGAGGGAGUAAUAUGUAAGGUAUAACAAUAGAGUCGUCAAAUCCUUUCUAUGGAUCGCAAUAGGUUCCACCCUUUCAUAGGUAGAAAUUUUCUUGGAAAGAUCACCAUACUUAAUUCAUGUACAAAUUAAUACCUCCGUUCCGAAAGAAGUGUCUCAACCUUAGUACAACUUUAGUAAAAAGUUGAGACACUCAUUUUGGACGGAGGGAUGAAGUUAUGGUUUUUGUGGUCCCUUUGCCCUAUCACCUAAGUUGGUGAGAAAAAACAAGCAGGAUAUAUUGACUGUAAAAGCAUGCUUGAAGCUGGAUACUACUAUCACCAUUUUAGUAUUGGAAAUAGUAUGAUGAGAAUUUCUGAAUUCCGCUUGCGUAUAUAACAAGUUCUGUAGUAAUUGUGAUGUCGAUCAUCUCUUCUAUAUAAUUAGUCACGGUAUUUGGUUUAUGAUGCACUGAAAUGGAAGUUGGGCUUACGAGAUCUACUCUAUGUGUUCGAAAACUCAUAUGUAGUCAACUUAUUGAACAUGGUAUUAAGAAACAGAAGCAACAAUAGAUAAAACACAAAGCAUGUAGCAUGGUCAGAGUGUUUUUUUGGUAAUGCAGCAUGUUUGGAGUUGAUACUGCUAGUUAUAGUACCAUUGGAAAAGUUGCACCUCUCACCCUAUCGUAUUUUGUAAUUUGCUCUUUUAAAAUUAUCUGGAUCGUCAGAGAAUGUUCCAUUAUAUAUCAUCUGAUUGGGUUGCACUAUAUGAGAUAUUAUUGUGCUAGAUCAUUAAGAUUUUCUGUUUUGUCUCUCACACUAAAUUUAUCUUAAAUGAGUGUUUUGUUUCUUGUAACCAAAGAUCCAUAAUAGAUGAUUGAUAGUGAUAAAGCUAGGGCUGAUUCAAAUAAGAAAAGUACAAAGACACAAGGCAUGUUUUGUUGUUGGUCCUGCAAUUACUAUUGUUUGCAUGUUUAAGAGAUCCAAAAUGACACCUGCUAUGAAUCUAUACAAUACUAGGACAUGUCAGCUUUUGAGGUGCUCUGAUCUAAACUUUAAUUAGCUGCAAUAUUUGAUUCUUGCAAUUUGCGAUAUAUAACUUUAUCUUCCAUAUAUGAAUGCAACCAACUAUUAUAUAUUGAACUGGAUGCAUACUUAAAAACGUAUUUAUUUGUCUGUGGUGCCUUAAAUAUACAUUCCAUACAUGUUUUGUCUCUUUUUGAAAAUGAUUAAACUGUUGCAACUUUUUAGAGCAAUCUCUGGGCUCCCCUUUACUUCCAAAAUAUUGUAAAAUAUAUGUGAUUUUUAGUCUCUUUUACAGUACCUUUUAUUGUUUUUUUGAAACGGAGGCAAAAGAUUUGCCUCACAUAUUAAAUAAGGAGAGAAGAGUUUGUUGCAACAUACACCCAAAGUACGGCAUGACAAUUAUUCUCGCAAUAAAAAGGACCCUAACUUCUUUGCCCCGGCGGUGAUCCAAAGGUUUGCCUCGUCGACAAUGGUGUUGAGUAAAGUUGGCGGAGGUGCGCUCUUAUGCCGAAACACUUGCGUUUCUCUCGUUUCAAAUGACCCACGAGACAAGCAUGGUGAUCGAGGCCUUCACUUUUCGGUUGGUGGUGCCCACGGCGCUCAUGCUCGCCCACCAUGCCUUGACUGAGUCGUACGAGCUCCACGCAGACGUGUCCAUGUCGUGUAUGAGAAAUUUCUGAAUAACCAAAUUCCACAGCCUCAGCGUGAAGCGGCACCUGAAGAAUAGAUGGGUUCCACAUUAGUACCUUCUAUUGUGACCCUUUGUAUUUAUCAAAGUAAAUAAUUUAGCCUCUCUCUCUCUCUCUCUCUGCCUUUUCUUCUUUGCUUUUCAGAGUGAUGAACAUUACGGAACUACUUCCAGUAUGGUCAACAAUAUGCAUAUACGAGGGAGUCCAGGUUCUGCAAGAGAUACAAUGCUCUUCAUUCAAAUUGAUGGAGAACAACAGCACAAAAGCAUCUCACCCUUCCAGGCGGAAGCGUGCUAGCUCUUCAGGUAGCCGCUCGAAUCGCCACCACCAUUACAAGUGGCCAGAUCAUUCUUCCUGACAUAUAACCAGACUCUAGCACAGGCAACAGCUUCCAAUGAUCUUCGCCAUAUUCCUGGACAAUGGGAGAUAAGGAGUCAUUUUUAAGAUUUCCUUUCUGCGACAAGCCAUACUCAAACAUAGGUUAUUUACAUUCCUAGAAAGUUCAAUGUCAGGGAACAUAAUUGCGCAGGACAGCCUCAUCUCUCAGAUUCUAAUGAUAGCUCAAAGUUGGCUUGUUGUAAUAUAGCUCACUCAAGUGCUCAGUGCCCUAUGCUUUUGUGGAUAUACUGCAGUCUGACCCAAGGCAGCUUCUUGCCUUUCCGUGGUGGCCAC